AAAACUAAAAGAAAAGAAUUAAAAGGAAACUUCAUUUCUCCCACAAUGGAGAAAAUCUGGAAGCUUCUCCGACCCAUCGUCUUCCAUUCACUCGUCGGCCAUAGCAGAUGACUAAAUCUCAGUAGCUAAUGGGUCCAAUGCAGAUGAUGAAAAGGGAAUGACAUUCUUCAUCUAAGCAAAAUGCAAACCUGAGUUAUAUCGAGCUUGGAUAGACUACAUCAAAGACGCUAAAAAUUCUCACUAGCGCCAUGAAAUCUUGUUCAGUGAAGACUUCUUCAACUCGUUUUAGCUCAAAUGUGCAACAGCUCGAUGAAGUGACUCCCUACUGAUGCAUUGACGGAUCUGCUCCUGGAAUCUUCAGACAUCCUAUCAGAUAAGCAGAUCCUAUCCUUUCUUGUCUUGUGAAUUUAUACUUUCCCUAAUUCAUUGGAAUCUGACAGAUUGAGUUCCUAUGGAACUAAUACCACUGUCUAAAUUCCUUCGAUUUAAUGUCCAUACUUAUUCUAUUUUGGUGGGUGUAUUGAUCUGUUUGUUUUGGUCUCCUUGUAUACUCCUGCUAGAUUAUGUUCCAUUACUAGUUUACUGAACAAAAUAUGUGUUCUGUACUUUAGUAAUUCGUAUGUUUGGAACUUGUUGAGCAUCUAGUGUUAUCAGUGCCUUUCCUUCUCUUGGAAUCUCCUGGAAUGAAUGGAAUAUUUUAACUUCAGUUCCUGCAAAAAAGAAGAUAAUGUUAGUUAAAAAAUCUGCCACUUUGUUCCCCUCCCUCAUAACAUGUUUCACCUCCACAUUUCCAUUCUUCAUCAUCCAUUUGAUCUUCUUAAUGAGCAGACUGAUGCACCAGGGGACUUCCCAUAUUCCAUCCAAAAUAUUUUCUAGAAUGAGUGAGUCAGUUUCCAGUAUGACAGGUGUUAACUGUUGAUCCAAACAGUACUGUAAACCUUUGUCCAUAACCGUAGCCUCAGCCUCCAAGCUAGUUUUCACCCCUAGAUUAUGAUAUUCUGCAUAAAUGAAUUCACCAUUCCAGUUUCUAAUACAAAAUCCCCCAGCACUUGGUCCUAGAUUUCCUUUAGAGGCUCCAUCUGAGUUACACUUGUAGCACCCUAAUUUGGAGCCUUCCAGUAGAUCACCUUUGGAACAACACAUGGCUUAUAUCCCUCUAGAAAUCUAACCAAACUAGGCCAUUCCUUUGGUAUAUUUCUGAGCCAAGGAUAUUUAACCGUGGCAAGUUGAUGAAUAUUUCUGUUUAUUUCAGAUAUCAUACUAUAGAAGGACAUUUUAUCACCAUGUCUCAGUUUGUUCCUCCUCUUCCAGAUUUCCCAGCAUAUCAGCCCAGAGAUAACAUUAAAGAGUGGUUUCAGCUUAGGCACACAAUUAGCCCUCUACCAUUUAUAUAUUGUGUCCUUAAGUUGAAUAAAAGGACCCUCAACCCCAGCAGCACUAGCAAGGAUUCCCCACAGCUUCUUUGCACCUGGAUAUCUUACAAACAGGUGUUGAUAACUCUCAUUAGUCAUUAGGUCACAACAACAACAAAGCACCUCCUCUGCAGUACCAAUCCUGAUUAAUUCUUCACCUAUAGGAAGUCUCUUUUUAACUAACCUCCAGGAGAAACCAGAGAUUUUGAUAGGAACACCUUUCUCCCAAAUAUUCAGAUAUUCUUCCUGUUCAAUCCCUGGUGUCCUCAAAUCCAUCCAUGCUGAUUCAACAGUAAACUUGCCAGAAGAAUUUAGCAGCCAGUAUGGAUAAUUCCUUUCUUCAGUUUCUUGCACUAUACUAAUCUUGUUAAUAAUGCGAUCCACCACAUAAUCAGGAAAUAAAUUAUGUAAUAGGUCUUCAUUCCUCUCUCCUCCAUUCAUCAAUAUGCUAAUGUCUUCCUGCAGAUAUUCAUUAGUAUAAGAUACAGGAAGAUAGUAAUUUAGAGCUCCAAGUUGGAUCCAGUUGUCAAACAUGAUGAUAGAAUGUCCACCGUUAAGUUGCCACCAAAUUUCUUGAUCAACUUGAUCCCUAGCCAGUAGCAUAUGUUUCCAUGUUUGUGAACCCCCUCUCCAUUCCACCACUUGAGGUUUAUGUCUCUUGCAGUACUUAUUCCACAUGAACCGUGACCACAUCGAAUUUUUAGUUCUAAAGUUCCACCAAAUUUUAGCAAAUAAAGCUUUAGAAAUGUCAAACAGAGACCUAAAACCCAGGCCACCUUCCUUUUUAGGUAAACAAAUCUCAGACCAAGCAAUCCAGUGUUUGCUUUUGCCUCCCUCCUUAAAGUUCCAGAGAAAUCUUGCAAAUACUCUAUGAAGGUCAUGUAUAACACAUUUAGAAGGUAUUAUGGCUGAGAGUUGAUAUAUAGGAUCACUCUGUAACACAUUGUAUAUUAGUACAACUUUCCCUCCAAAUGAGAGCAACUUGCCCUUUCAAGCUUCUACCUUAUUUUGCACCUUCUUCAUAAGCUCAGUAAAGUGUGUUUUCCUCUUCUUGGCAUGCCCUAUGGGGCAUCCAAGAUACAUAAGUCGGAAAUAUCCUCUAGUAAAUCCAGUGCAUUCCUCUAUAUUACUGAUAUCCCCCUGUGCAGCCUUGUUAUGUACAUAAAAGGCACUUUUUCCUUUGCUAAUUUUCUAACCAGACUGCUUCUCAUACUCAUUUAAAGUCUUCAUAAUCAUCCUUAAAGAGUAGCUAUCAGCACUAUCAAAAACAAUUGUGUCAUCUGUAUAUGCUAAGUGAGUGGUCCUCUCACUCCACUUAGGUAGACCAAAACCUUUGAAACCAGGUAAUGAGUUAAGAUUAUUCAGAGCCCUAGAUAGCACCUCAACAGUCAUGAUGAAUAAAGAAGGAGAUAGUGGGUCCCCUUGCUUGACUCCUCUAGUAGAGUGAAAAAGCCCAUAAUAUUGUCCAUUUAUCAAUACAGAGUACCAAUUAUUAGCAACCAGUCUCCAGAUUUUGUCAGUGACCAGCUUAUUAAAACCCAUUUUGUCUAACACUUUCAUCAAAAAGCUCCAACUGACCCUGUCAUAAGCCUUUGCCAUAUCAAGCUUAAAAACUACAUUAGCUGUUUUGCUCCUUUUUCUGAUAUCCACCACAAUUUCUUGUGCUAGCAGAAUAUUCUCUGUAAUACUCCUCCCUUUGGUGAAACCAGAUUGAUUUGGUGAUAUGAAUUUUGGAAGUAUUCCUUCCAAUCUAUCAUGAAUAAUCCUAGAGAUGACCUUAUUCACAAAAUUACUAAGACUAAUUGGUCUUAAAUCAAAAAAAGAGACUACUUUUUCCUUUUUGGGAAUUAAGACCAAAUUAGUGUGAGUAAUCGAUUUAGGUAAUGUCAUACCAGAGAAAAAAGCAUUAACCACCUCAAAUAUGUCCUUACCCACAAUAUCCCAGCAAACCUGGUAAAAGUGCCCAGUAAAACCAUCAGGUCCACUAUCACUAUUACCAUUCAACUCAAAAACUACCAUUUUGACUUCCUCCAAGCAAGGUUGUCUAUUCAACAAGUCAUUCUCUUCUUCAGUUACCAGAGAUGGAAUAAGAUCAUUCAGAGAAGUAUCAUCCUCAACUGAACUUUCAGUGAACUGUUCUUUGUAGAAGUUCACAGCUUCCUCCAGCACCUCAUUUCCUUCUGCCCAGGAUCCAUCAGUCUUCUGAACUCUAUUAAUCUCCAUUCUCUUCUUUCUUCCCUUCACAAUAUUAUGAAUUUUUUUUGUAUUUCUGUCCCCUUCAGUAAACCAUUGAAUGCCAGCUUUCUGUCUCCAAAACUCCUCCUCAAACUUCAGAUAUUUGUAAAACUCAACCUGUGCUCUAUUUAAAAUAGGUCUAUUAGCAGCAGUAGGUGAAUCUUCAAACAAUUGUUCUUUAAUCCUUACAAUAUCUUCUGUUAUAACCAGCUGCUUGAAUAUGUCCCCAUAGCAUUCUUUGCUCCAUUUUGAUAAAGCCUGUUUGGUCCUUUUCAUUUUUAAUUUCCAUCUUACAAACACAUCAUCACAUUCUGCAACCCAAUUCUGCAAGAUCACCUGCCUGAAAUCUUCAUGAUUUGUCUAGAACUUGAGGAACUUAAAUGGUUUAUGAAAAUGACCAUUUUGAGUCCCACAAGAAAGUAGCAAAGGUGCAUGGUCUGAUCUUGAUCUGGCCAAAUGUUCAAUCUCCACCUUUCCCAUUUCCCCAAGAAAUAAUUGAUUGACCACAAUCCUAUCUAACCUUUUGAAAAUGCACCCCUCAUCAGCCCUUCCAUUCCACCAAGUGAAUGGAUUCCCUUUGAGAUUUAUAUCAAACAACUCACAAGAAUUAAUGCAAAAUGCAAAAUCUUCCACCACAUUGGGAUAUACAGUAAGACCCCCAAUUUUCUCCUCAGCAUUCAUGAUAACAUUGAAAUCCCCUCCUACAACCCAAUGAACAGAUAUACUCUAAGAAAUGGAGUAAAUAUCAUCCCAUAACUCCAGCCUCUCUUGUUAGGAACACUUUGCAUACACCAGAGUAUAGAUCAUCUGAUGUCCAUUAGUGAACACCAAUUUGAUAGUUAACUGUUGUUCAGAGUCAUCCAUCACCUCCACCAUAAUAUCUUUGUUAAUAAAAACUCAUAUCUGUCCAUUAAUAUUGUAAUUAGCAUAUGCCUUCCCUAAUCUUCUUUUGUACUGCUGAAUUACCCUUGAUUCUUGAAAUGAUUCCAUCACUGCCACCAGGUCAAAAUUGUGAUGUCUGUGCAACAUUUUGUACCCUAUGAAAAGAGUGAUUUGAUCUGACUGACCUUGUGUUCCAUAUAAGGGCUUUAAACAUCAUUUCAAAAUUGUUCUUCCAGCCCUCACUGGAUUUGAUCUCACAGGUUUGUCUCCACAAGUUUUUCUUUUUUUUUUCUUCUUUGACUUCCCUAGUGGGGAUACCCCUGCCUCCUUUAGAGCUUGUGAAAGAUUCUCAUUGCUUUCUUCUUCUUCUCUAUUUUCAAUACAGUCAAUUAUAUUCUGAUUGUUUCUUUUCUCUAUUGAUUUCUCCACUGUCACUAUUUGAUGUGAAACUAAUUCAUGCAGAGUCUUACUAGGGGAGCUUUGCCUUGUUUUGUUUGUUAGAUCUUGGUUGGUUUCCAUUGUAGCAAGUUCCUGAUUGCUGGUCUGUCUUGACAGAAACAAUGGCUAAUUGCUGAUUGCCUAAACUUCUAGAUAAUUGAUGUUCAUCCUUUGUAGUCUGCUGGCCCCUUACAUUCACCAUUUGAUCUUCAUAUUCUUCCUCAUUCUCUACUUGGAGAGGAGAAUGGAAUUCUGCCAUUUCCUCAAGUUGUUCCCCGGUCUGUUUCAUCAACUACAGCUUUAUCCAGAUGUUGAGAUUGUGCUUGCUGCAUCUCUUCCACUUUGCCUAUAACAUCAUUAUUUGUGACAGUAGUAAUUGUUGUACUUGGUUUUGUUGUAUCUUUAUCAUCUCUUCCACCCUGUUCUGUUUGCAUGCUAAAUUCAUGAUAUUGUGAGUUAAUUCCCUCCUUGUAAAAUGCUUGGAAACCCUUUCUUUCGUAUUCA